rnacentral:rRNA from 1 species
GUCCCGCAACGAGCGCAACCCUUGUCCUUGUUUGCCAGCGAGUAAUGUUGGGAACUCCAGGGAGACUGCCGGUGAUAAACCGGAGGAAGGUGGGGAUGACGUCAAGUCAUCAUGGCCCUUACGACUAGGGCUACACACGUGCUACAAUGGUCGCAUACAGAGGGCGCCCAACUUGCGAAAGUGAGCGAAUCCCACAAAAGUGGAUCGUAGUCCGGAUUGCAGUCUGCAACUCGACUCCAUGAAGUCGGAAUCGCUAGUAAUCGUGGAUCAGAAUGCCACGGUGAAUACGUUCCCGGGCCUGUACACACAGCCCUCACACCAAUGGGAGUGG